GACGAACGCUGGCGGCGUGCUUAACACAUGCAAGUCGAACGGAAAGGCCUGCUUUCCCUUGUGGAUUGCGGGUGCUCGAGUGGCGAACGGGUGAGUAACACGUGAGUGAUCUGCCCCCAACUUGGGUAUAAGCCUGGGAAACUGGGUCUAAUUCCCGAUAGGACUGCAGGGUGGUGCCUGUGGUGGAAAACGAUUUUCUAGUGGUUGGGGAUGAGCUCGCGGCCUAUCAGCUUGUUGGUGGGGUAAUGGCCUACCAAGGCGGCGACGGGUAGCCGGCCUGGGAGGGUGGACGGCCACAUUGGGACUGCGAUACGGCCCAGACUCCUACGGGAGGCAGCAGUGGGGAAUAUUGCACAAUGGGCGGAAGCCUGAUGCAGCGACGCCGCGUGGGGGAUGACGGCCUUCGGGUGGUAAACUCCUUUCGACCGCGAGGAAGCCACCUGGUUGGAAGGGUGGUGACGGUAGUGGUAGAAGAAGCACCGGCUAACUACGUG
rnacentral:rRNA from 1 species